GAUGAAGAACGUAGCGAAAUGCCAUAAGUAAUGUGAAUUGCAGAAUUCAGUGAAUCAUCGAAUCUUUGAACGCACAUUGCGCCCGUCAGUAUUCUGGCGGGCAUGCCUGUUCGAGCGUCAUUACGCCCCUCAAGUCCCCUGUGGACUUGGUGUUGGGGAUCGGCGAGGCUGGUUUUCCAGCACAGCCGUCCCUUAAAUUAAUUGGCGGUCUCGCCGUGGCCCUCCUCUGCGCAGUAGUAAAACACUCGCAACAGGAGCCCGGCGCGGUCCACUGCCGUAAAACCCCCCAACUUUUUAUAGUUGACCUCGAAUCAGGUAGGACUACCCGCUGAACUUAAGCAUAUCAAUAAGCGGAGGA
rnacentral:misc_RNA from 1 species